CGUAGGGUGCAAGCGUUAAUCGGAAUUACUGGGCGUAAAGCGUGCGCAGGCGGUUGUGUAAGACAGAUGUGAAAUGCCCGGGCUUAACCUGGGAACUGCAUUUGUGACUGCACGGCUAGAGUUUGGCAGAGGGGGGUAGAAUUCCACGUGUAGCAGUGAAAUGCGUAGAUAUGUGGAGGAAUACCGAUGGCGAAGGCAGCCCCCUGGGUCAAGACUGACGCUCAUGCACGAAAGCGUGGGGAGCAAACAGGAUUAGAUACCCUGGUAGUCCACGCCCUAAACGAUGUCUACUAGUUGUCGGGUCUUAAUUGACUUGGUAACGCAGCUAACGCGUGAAGUAGACCGCCUGGGGGAGUACGGUCGCAAGAUUA
rnacentral:rRNA from 1 species